GUCUACGGCCAUGCCACCCUGAACAAGCUUGAUCCCAUCUGAUCUCGGAAGCUAAGCAGGGUCGGGCCUGGUUAGUACUUAGAUGGGAGACCACCUAGGAAGACCAGGUGCUGUAGGCG
rnacentral:rRNA from 1 species